AGCUAUGAACUCAUUCCGUAUCAAAAAGAAAAAAAGAAAAAAGAAAAAAAGAAAAAAAAAACUACGAGCUCACUUUAAUACAGGAGCGUUUGAGAAGGAGAGGGUUGAAUAGAUGGAAGGAAUCAAAAACGAAGACUUGCUCUCCUUCAUGUUCACAAAUAAUAAACCCUAAUCUCCCUUUUCAAUUUGUGUGUUCCUCAAUUGUUUCGUGAAUUUUAUGCUCAAAAAGGAGUUCAAAACAACCAAACAAAAAUCAAUUUAUCAUGCAAAAUUUCAACAAUCAGAUCCAUCAAACAAAGAAGGAAACCACAACCAUCCUUUCGCCGCAAGACACAUCAUUGGAUCAGACAACCACUGCAGCUGCUACUAGGCUCCUCUCAGGUUCAACCAUCAGCAAACAGUCCCUUCUCUUCAUCAUCAAGACAUCAACAGCUCCUUUAUUCCCUUACACUACUAACAUUGCUACCCUGUCAGCCUUCCGCACUCUAAACUGCACACUGGUUGGCUUAUAACAUUAAAGUUUUAAUCUUUUCGUGGCUUAAAGUCUAUCAUCCUGCAACUGCAAUACCCUUCAGCGACUGGAGUUGGUUUUGUACUUGAUGUUCUUUUUGGGUUUUUUGAUCAUUAGAACUUGUCUGUAUUGUUAAUACAUUGUACAGUUUUUCUUUUCUUUGUAAUAGAAAAUGUAAACUUUAAACGCCUACUUUAAAAGAUAUGGUAUUUUUCCUUA